CAAAAACAUAGCCUAAUGAUUAUAAUUUUAGGUGUGCCCUGCCCGGUGAUUUUUUUUUAACGGCCGCAGUACUCUGACUGUGCUAAGGUAGCAUAAUAAUUUGUCUUUUAAUUAAAGACUGGAAUAAACGGGUGUUUUAAUGAAGUCUAUCUAAUUAAUAAAAUAGUUAAUUUUCUGAUAAGGUGAAAAUACCUUAAUAUUAAUAUUAGACGAGAAGACCCUUAGAGUUUUACAUAUAUUUUGUUGGGGCGACAAGAAUGCAUACAACCUUUCUUUUAUUUAUUACUAUUCAUCAAUUAUAUUUUCGAAAAUAAACUACCUAAGGGAUAACAGCAUAAUUUUUUUAUAAGAUUAUGACCUCGAUGUUGGAUUAAGGGCUUAUAUACUAACAGUUUAAUAAGAUUGUUCUGUUCGAACAUUAAACCUUACGUGAUCUGAG
rnacentral:rRNA from 1 species